rnacentral:lncRNA from 1 species
GGAGAGAGACACAGAGAGAGAGAGAGCACAAAGGGGAAUAUCGAGAGGACAUUCAAAUAGAGAGGAAUUGUUACCUUACCCCUCAUGCAAGCCUGAAUCUGAAGAGCACUCCUUUGGUGGUGAUGCAGUCGCCUUGAAGUGUUCCAGAAAGACCGUUUACAGGUAUCAAGAAUGGUGCUUCCUUCAUGAAUAGUACAGGCCUUGCCAACGGAUGAAAUUGACAGAAAUAAGAGGGAAUUAUUUAAUUUACUUUGGAGGUUGAGAGAGACUUUUCUUAAACACACAAUAAAUGCAUCACAGGGGCUCAGAUGUUUCUGGCAAGAUUAUGAAGAUAGACUGAUUGGUGUUCAUGUAUUGUGAUGGUAGAGACUGGGAUCAGCAAAAUAUUAUGUAUGCAGUUGACAUCUUACACGAAGAAUUUGGAGUAUGGACAUUACAUGAUUGUCUCUCAGCCACCCUAUGGAAAACAGAAUUGUCUGGCUCUACCUACC